CUGAAGUCGGUCCCAAGGGUUUGGCUGUUCGCCAAUUAAAGCGGUACGAGAGCUGGGUUCAAAACGUCGUGAGACAGUUUGGUCCCUAUCUGUCGUGGGCGCAGGAGAUUUGAGGGGAGCUGUCCUUAGUACGAGAGGACCGGGAUGGACGGACCUCUAGUGUGCCAGUUGUCCCGCCAGGGGCAUUGCUGGGUAGCUAUGUCCGGACGAGAUAACCGCUGAAAGCAUCUAAGCGGGAAACUCACCCCAAGAUUAGAUCUCCCUCCCGAGCAAUCGGGACUGAAGACCCCUGGAAGACUACCAGGUUGAUAGGCUGGAGGUGUAAGGCCGGUGACGGCUUGAGCUGACCAGUACUAAUCGGUCGUGAGGCUUAACCAU
rnacentral:ncRNA from 1 species